UCCAUCUUGAGUUGGAAAUGUCUCUUGAAGAUACAUGCCCAUUACAGCCUGGUCAAAUGGCAGCCUGUUCCUUUGAGGAUUCUUUUGAAGAUUCUAAGCUAGUUACUUCUUGCUCCAAUUUCUUCUGAUAUGCAAAAGGUAAACAAAAGUAAUGCAAAACUGUGAGUGAAGAUCAUACAGAAAGAUUAUCUCCAGAAAUUUCAAAAAGAAUCAAAUCAAAUUGGGUCUCCCCCUGCUGUGUGAAACAGAGUAUUUUGAAUUGCGUCUGUUCCCAAAAGCAAUGUUACUAGAAUUGGUCUUCCACUUGAUUACAGAGGCAAAUGAAGAAACACAACUUGUAAAUAUCAAAUAAAAUGAGACUGCUUGAUACAAAUAUUUUACAUUUAUUGGAAGAGUACAGUGAAACGGGGACUGCAGACUCAUUAGUGGUAAGUGGUCCAAAGGAGAAGACAAAGGACUAUUCAAAAAAGGUCUGCAGUUUACAAGAAGACUGAAAAUCUCUUACAUAACAGCCUAGGAAAAUAAAAAGUUAGCCUUAGUUCUAAAGUGUAACUUUAAAGUAUAUAAAAAAUUGGCAAAUAAAUAAAGUUAAAAUGCAGAUCUAUUUAAAAGUAUAAAGGACCGACAACUGGCAACUGUAAAACAUAGUUAUAAUUUUCAGACUUGAUUAAAAGCCAGAUAAAUUCACAAAUGUUGUUUCUUUUUUUAAAAUUUUAUUUUACAUGUACUUUAGGGAAGAAGGACCCAUUUCCAGUGUUAUGUAGUAUCGAUCUGUUUCACAAAUAUAUUAUUUUUAAACAACAAAGAGCAUAAAAGGUGCUUUACCUGAUAUUGCUGGUGUGUAUUUUGGCACAAAAUUGAGAACUGGAUACCUAAAGACAUCUGCAAAUGGCAUCUGUGUCCACUCAAGGCUACUGGUGACAAAAGUCUGGCUUGCGAUGGCAAUCCAGUGUGAAUUUCCCUCCUUCCCUAACACCCCUGUUCUGUCUCCAGCUGCCAACAGUUACACAAAGGAAAAGCAACACAUGCAAUUUUAAAAUCAGCAGUCCUACAACCCCAGCCCAAGUUUCAUCCCCGGAAGUCCUUUAACAGAAGGUACAAGGCAGGUGUUUAAUGCUGGCUUUCACUCCUCAGUGUUUCUCUGCAGGAGUCUGCCUGCCUUGUGUGUCCUGUGUGAUGAACCUGUAUCAUGGAGUUUUUUCCUAUUACAUGUUUUCAGCAUUUUAGUGAAAACUAAGUGGGAAGCUUGCUAAAAAAACCAAA